UUAAUAAAAAUGUAUUUUUUUAUUUACAAUAAUUUUUCCAGUCGGUUUUGGAAACAUUAAUUCCGUCGCGACGAAACUAACCUUCGGACGAAACUAACCUUGAAAAUACCCCCCUGUUUUGAUUUUACUUGGAAGGAGGUAGUUCAAUAUUGCAGGUUUAAUUAAAUAAGAAAGAAUGGGAUGCGACGACGAAACGCAUAAUAUCCAGUUUAAAAAGAAGAAGAAGACGAAACCUUUAAGGAAACGCGAAGCUUCUCGGUUUGAGCGAGGGAGAGAAAAUGUCCAAGUAGAAAGUCGAAGAAACAAAGAUUAUUCAGAAAUUCUAUGAGAGACCAGCUGGCGUCGAUAUUGUUGGUUUGGCUCUCGGAGAAAGCGUUGUAUCUGAUGUGUUGUGGUCGGAUCCCUUUAAUAUGAAAACCGGAGGAAAAUAUGACUAUGCUGAAGAAUAUAAAAUAUAAGCUGAAUGACUCGUACGACACCAGCAGUAGAACUCAAUUUAAUAUGGAGACCAAUAAAUGAAGAAAUGGUCAAUUAUGUAGAAGAAUUGUCGAAGUGCAAGAGUAAAAAUGAUGAUGCAGUGAAUAGUACGAAUAAUGAUAAUAGACCGUAUUGCUUGCCACAGGAAACAGCAUUGCGUGUAGUACUAGAUACAAGUUAAGCGAGAAAAUUUGAGGAGUGAUUUUGGUCUAGCAGCAGGAAUGUCGGGCGAAUUACCUUGUUAACAGUCACUUAGUAGCUAGGAAGAAGGCCAGUGUAGCCACAGUAUCGCCCAAUGUAUCACACAGGAUAUGACAGUAUACAGAACACUGAGGCAGCAAAAUUCUAUUUCCAGAUGUAUGAUUUGCAAAAGGCUAUCUUUCAGCUCCAAAUUGCUGAAAUGAGAGAUCAAAAACCUAGAUACGUACUGACUCGGGGGAAGAAAAUAACACGCGACUGAGUUAUUCAAACAUCCAAAGUACAAUAAAUUAUGCAACAAGCGAUAACGAGACGGCAUCUAGACAGCGUUUGACGGACAUAAAGGAAAGGGAGGAAGAGGUGGAGCCAGUUUCUUCCGAAAUUUUUGAUAAUGAAAAUAUUCUGAGCGAAGAUUAAGCACAAAAUCGUCACAUUCUUUUCAAUUAAAACAAUGAAGAACAAGACUAAUAUGGCCUAUAAUACCGAGUAUUCUAUUUUUCUUUCUCCUCUUUCAAGUGAUUUGUGGUAACGAACCACGUAGUAAUUCAUGCUUGUUAAAAUCAGUGAUUAAACAAGCUAAUCGACUAUGUUAUUAAGAGAUAUCGUCAGAUGAAGAAAGCGACUUCUCACCCUAUGUGAUUUUCUUGUUCGCUUAAUCUAGCUGUAUCAUUAAAAUAAGUAACAAGAUUAAGUGUAUAUUGUAAUGUAUGCCAAUUAUGGAAAGGCUGAAUAUAAUUGCAGAGUUUGUUUCACCUUUUAAAUGUUGUCACUUUGCAACUGUAAGUACUGCGAUUGAGAUUUCUUGAUCCCUUGUUAGUUGGUAGUAGCAACUGUCAUUUCGUAAUCAUUCUACAUGCAUGAUGGAAAAGGUGCGAUUGCGUACUCAAUGCCAAUGUAAUUAAUCGCUGUAUUGCAACUGAUUUCUUCCGUUCGAUAUUUUAAUUCUGGAUAACAGAUUUGAUUAUCAGGAUAUACCACUUCUGCAAUUUCGGUUGUAUACUUCGUCUUGCUUUACUGACUGAAUGCACAAACUAGAGUACCGCUAUCUUUGACUACAGGUUAUUUACAAUUUGUAGUAAUUUAUAAUAAUUUAUAACAUGUAUUUUACAUGUUAAUUAUAACAUCUUAUUUUUAAAACAUGUAUUUUAAGUAUUUUUUUGUAAAUAAAUAUAUACGGAUUAAAAUUAAACAAUGUAAAUCUAUGUACCUUUGUAAGAUCAUUUGCUGUGCACUCAAUAAAAAUAUUUUUUGAAUUAA